rnacentral:sRNA from 1 species
AAAAUGACUUGAUGUGAUGUGUAUGAUUGAGUAUAAGAACUUAAACUGCAACCGGAGCUUAAAAGUCUAAGUAGUGUUUCCUUGA